UGGGGAAUCUUCCGCAAUGGACGAAAGUCUGACGGAGCAACGCCGCGUGAGUGAUGACGGCCUUCGGGUUGUAAAGCUCUGUUAAUCGGGACGAAUGGUUCUUGUGCAAAUAGUGCGAGGAUUUGACGGUAUCGGAAUAGAAAGCCACGGCUAACUACGUGCCAGCAGACGCGGUAAUACGUAGGUGGCAAGCGUUGUCCGGAAUUAUUGGGCGUAAAGCGCGCGCAGGCGGAUUGGUCAGUCUGUCUUAAAAGUUCGGGGCUUAACCCCGGGAUGGGAUGGAAACUGCCCAUCUAGAGUAUCGGGGAGGAAAGUGGAAUUCCUAGUGUAGCGGUGAGAUGCGUAGAUAUUAGGAAGAACACAAGUGGCGAAGGCGACUUUCUGGACGAAAACUGUCGCUGAGGCGCGAAAGCGAGGGGAGCGAACGGG
rnacentral:rRNA from 1 species